rnacentral:rRNA from 1 species
AACGAACGCUGGCGGCAGGCUUAACACAUGCAAGUCGAACGAGAUCUUCGGAUCUAGUGGCAGACGGGUGAGGAACACGUGGGAACAUCCCUUUCAGUUCGGAAUAACGUUGGGAAACUAACGCUAAUACCGGAUACGUCCUUCGGGAGAAAGAUUUAUCGCUGAAAGAUUGGCCCGCGUCUGAUUAGCUAGUUGGUGAGGUAAUGGCUCACCAGGGCUACGAUCAGUAGCUGAUCUGAGAGGAUGAUCAGCCACAUUGGGACUGAGACACAGCCCAAACUCCUACGGGAGGCAGCAGUGGGGAAUAUUGGACAAUGGGCGCAAGCCUGAUCCAGCCAUGCCGCGUGAGUGAUGAAGGCCUUCGGGUUGUAAAGCUCUUUUAUCCGGGAAGAUAAUGACUGUACCGGAAGAAUAAGCCCCGGCAAACUUCGUGCCAGCCGCCGCUGUAA